CACCGCGGUUAUACGAGAGGCCCAAGUUGACAAACUCCGGCGUAAAGCGUGGUUAAGGCACACUCAAAAACUAAAGCCGAAUAUCUUCAGAGCAGUCAUACGCAUCCGAAGACACGAAGCCCCACCACGAAAGUGGCUUUAUGACACCUGACCCCACGAAAGCUAGGACA
rnacentral:rRNA from 1 species